rnacentral:tRNA from 1 species
GCAAAAGUAGCUUAAAAAAAGCAAAGCACUGAAAAUGCUUUUAUAGAAGGUUAAAAUCCUCUCUUUAUGCA